GGAGCCCGAUGCAGAGCUUGAUCCCACGACCCUGAGAUCAUGACCUGAGCCAAAAUCAAGAGUUGGAUGCUCAACCGAGCCACCCAGGUGCCCCAACAAGGACUUGUUACAAAGGAAAUGCCGUCGUCUGGAGCACCUCUUUGAGGGUGGGUCUCCCGGGCAGGCCCGCCUCUGCAUCCUGUCCCCUGACCCCCCACUCACUUCCUGACAUCCCAUGCCAGCUGAGGCUGACGCGGCCCCCCACUGUCCCAGGGGAGGAAACCGAGGCCCACAGAACCCGGAGAAUGUUGGCUCGAGGCAGG